rnacentral:rRNA from 1 species
ACGCUCGACACCUACGGGAGGGAGCAGUGGGGAAUAUUGCACAAUGGGGGAAACCCUGAUGCAGCGACGCCGCGUGAGCGAAGAAGUAUUUCGGUAUGUAAAGCUCUAUCAGCAGGGAAGAAGAAAGACGGUACCUGACUAAGAAGCCCCGGCUAACUACGUGCCAGCAGCCGAGUAUCUGGACGGCGGGCUGGACGAAGGC